ACUCCUACGGGAGGCAGCAGCUAAGAAUCUUCCGCAAUGGACGAAAGUCUGACGGAGCGACGCCGCGUGAGCGAAGAAGGUGCUCUGCAUUGUAAAGCUCUUUCGGGAAGGAAGAAUAAGGGUCCAUGAAUAGUGGAUCUGAUGACGACCCUUCCUAAAGAAGCCCCGGCUAACUACGUGCCAGCAGCCGCGGCAAUACGUAGGGGGUAAGCGUUGUUCGGAAUCACUGGGCGUAAAGGGCAUGUAGGCGGGAAAGUAAGUUGGGGGUGAAAUCUACGGGCUCAACCUGUAAACUGCCUUCAAAACUGCUUUUCUUGAAUGUGGGAGGGGAGAUCGGAAUUCCUAGUGUAGGAGUGAAAUCUGUAGAUAUUAGGAUGAACACCGAUGGCGAAGGCAGAUCUCUGGCCUGACAUUGACGCUGAUAUGCGAAAGCGUGGGGAGCGAACAGGAUUAGAUACCCUGGUAGUC
rnacentral:rRNA from 1 species